AAAAAGUAAGAUCUUACAGCAAGUCAGCAGGGUCCACCAAGGUCUUUGGCCAGAAGCAGAGAGUUUACCAUGUGGACACAGGAAAUAGCAGUAGAGUGACUAGGGUGGGUUGGUCCUUAACCACUCAGGAAUUUCAGGAAUUCCGACCAUGGGUAAAACCCAGUGCGGUGACACUCUCAUGUUCUCACCAACCAGGAAACCACUUGCUCUGCUUUGGGGAGGAGUUAGUGGAGGACUGGGCGUGGGCAGAAAAAUGGACACAUUUUGCUUCCCUGAUGGACAGAGGGAGGAAGUGGGAAGGGGAGACUAAAUGUUCCUGGACAGGAAAGCAUAUAUCCAGAAUUGGAAAUCACAUCUAAUCAACUGAAUAGAUGAAUUUUUGAAUAGACUCAACAAACCAGUAAGAGGUGGUCGAAGCAUCAUUCAUAACAAAAGAAUGUCCUGUAUCAUUUUAAUGACUGUGGCGUGUGACUUUGUUCUUAGCACAAUGAGUAACAAAGCCAAAACACUGGAGAAUACGUUUAUGCAUUCAAGAAAACCUCAGACAGGGCAGAAUGCUUUCAUAAUGCAGUACAUUAAAAUCAGACGAAGCCUCGAAGGACAGAAUCGCCGACCCUGAAAAAUCUCAAGCUGGAAAUCAGAGUGUACUACAGAAGACAACAGCGUUUGAGGACAUUUGCUGAAGCAGCCUCCUCUCCCUUAAGGUCUGAUAAUCCCACACGGUUUUUACCAAGCUCUCUGGCCUUCCCGGAACGUCAAUAAAAACUGCAUUCCCCGACUUUUGUUGGUGGUUUCUUCCCUAAACUUUAGGGAAGUGGUGGUUUAUGUGGUGUUAUCUUCCCUAAGCUUUAAUUUAAUAUGAUCUUACUUAGGCAUUUCUUUUAGAGAGUAGGUCAUUGUAACGAAGCGUUUUUCACCCUCUGGGAAAGAGGUUUCCACAUAAGGGCCAGGCCGUGUUUUCCCUUUCAUCCAGUGAUUCCACCAUAAGCAGCCACUCAUCUUCACUUUUCCCAACAAUUUUCUUAAAAUCAGUGUAUUUUUUUGCAGGACCGGAUAUCACAUUACAGUCUCUAGUCAGGGGUGGGGGGUGGGAUGUGAAGUGAGAACAAAGAAUGGUAACUCCCGAAGCGAUUUUUUUAAUGUAAACUUUGUUAGGAAGCAUAACAUACACACGUGCCAACAUAAAGGGUGCAACUCCAUGUAAUUUUAUGCAGACACUCACUCAUGGAACCACAACUAGAACAGGAAAUAGGAUUUUGCCAGCACCCCAGAAGCUCCUAUAAGGCACCUUGCAGUCACUCCCCUCCCCUACCCCACCCCAGAAGAUAACAAGUUCAUUUUCUGACUUCUAUCACUGUAGAUUAAUUUGCCGCUAUUCCGAACUUCCGUAAAUGGAAUCGGACAGUACACACUCUUUGGUACCUGGCUCAACAGUCUGUUCCUUGAGUCUGCUGAAGCAGUCAUUUCUUCAAUUUUAUUGCUGACUCAUAUUCUGUGCUAUGAAAAUGUAACAAUUUAUUUUUCCAUUCUACUACUGAUGGGCCUUCAGAUUCUAAUAUUUGCCCAUAAUGAAAAAUGCUGCAAUAAGAAUUGUUGUGCACGUCUUCUGAGAGCACAUGUACCUAUUUCUGUGGAUAUAGACCUAGAAGUGUAAUAUCUGGGUCACAAAUAGUCGUGUGCCUAUGCAGGCUUGUACUGGCUCAUGACAGCCCAGUUUUUGCAAUCCAAUUGUUAAAU